UGCCUAGCAACUCCUAUCCCUACCUCCUCGUGGUACCGGCCGGAAACUAUGAGCAACCUUAGGGAAGAUCGGGUAACCAACCCCGGUGGGAACUUUGGUCAUAGGCUGACAGAGAAGG
rfam:Aedes albopictus isolate Foshan contig143266, whole genome shotgun sequence.